GAAACGACUGCUAAGACUGGAUAGGAAAAGUAAAGGCAUCUUUACUUUUUUAAAAGACCUUCUUUGAAGGUAUGCUUAAGGAGGGGCUUGCGACACAUUAGUUAGUUGGCAGGGUAAAGGCCUACCAAGACUAUGAUGUGUAGCUGGACUGAGAGGUUGAACAGCCACAUUGGGACUGAGACACGGCCCAAACUCCUACGGGAGGCAGCAGUAGGGAAUUUUCGGCAAUGGAGGAAACUCUGACCGAGCAACGCCGCGUGAACGAUGAAGUACCUCGGUAUGUAAAGUUCUUUUAUUAAGGAAGAAAAAAGAGUGGAAAAACUCCCUUGACGGUACUUAAUGAAUAAGCCCCGGCUAAUUAUGUGCCAGCAGCCGCGGUAAUACAUAAGGGGCGAGCGUUAUCCGGAAUUAUUGGGCGUAAAGGGUGCGUAGGCGGUUUAAUAAGUCUAUAGUUUAAUUUCAGUGCUUAACGCUGUUGUGCUAUAGAAACUGUUUUACUAGAGUGAGUUAGAGGCAAGCGGAAUUCCAUGUGUAGCGGUAAAAUGCGUAAAUAUAUGGAGGAACACCAGAGGCGUAGGCGGCUUGCUGGGACUUUACUGACGCUGAGGCACGAAAGCGUGGGGAGCAAACAGGAUUAGAUACCCUGGUAGUCCACGCCGUAAACGAUGAGUACUAAGUGUCGGGUAAAACCGGUACUGAAGUUAACACAUUAAGUACUCCGCCUGAGUAGUACGUACGCAAGUAUGAAACUUAAAGGAAUUGACGGGACUCCGCACAAGCGGUGGAUCAUGUUGUUUAAUUCGAAGAUACACGAAAAACCUUACCAGGUCUUGACAUUUUCUUGCGAAGUUAUAGAAAUAUAAUGGAGGUUAUCAGGAAAACAGGUGGUGCAUGGUUGUCGUCAGCUCGUGUCGUGAGAUGUUAGGUUAAGUCCUAAAACGAGCGCAACCCUUGUCGUUAAUUGCCAGCAUGUAAUGAUGGGGACUUUAACGAGACUGCCAAUGAAAAAUUGGAGGAAGGUGGGGAUUACGUCAAAUCAUCAUGCCCCUUAUGAUCUGGGCUACAAACGUGAUACAAUGGUUGAUACAAAGAGUAGCUGAAACGCGAGUUCUUAGCCAAUCUCACAAAAUCAAUCUCAGUUCGGAUUGAAGUCUGCAACUCGACUUCAUGAAGUUGGAAUCGCUAGUAAUCGCGAAUCAGCAUGUCGCGGUGAAUACGUUCACGGGGUUUGUACACACCGCCCGUCA
rnacentral:rRNA from 1 species